rnacentral:rRNA from 1 species
CACGUAGGGGGCAAGCGUUGUCCGGAUUUAUUGGGCGUAAAGAGCUCGUAGGUGGUUCGGUAAGUCGGGUGUUAAACCCCCAGGCUCAACCUGGGGACGCCACUCGAUACUGCUGUGACUAGAGUCCGGUAGGGGAGCGUGGAAUUCCUGGUGUAGCGGUGAAAUGCGCAGAUAUCAGGAGGAACACCAGCGGCGAAGGCGGCGCUCUGGGCCGGUACUGACGCUGAGGAGCGAAAGCGUGGGGAGCGAACAGG